rnacentral:rRNA from 1 species
GGUUGCGAUCAUACCAGCACUAAUGCACCGGAUCCCAUUAGAACUCCGCAGUUUAGCGUGCUUGGGCGAGAGUAGUACUAGGAUGGGUGACCCCCCUGGGAAGUCCUCGUGUUGCAACCCC